UUAAAGUAUAAUAAAAAAUUACUUUAAAAUAAUAUUCUAUUAUAGAUUCUGCAGGAGAAAUCACACAGAAUAAUUGUUUUGAGGAAAAAAAGGACCAAGCCAAAUUUUUGACACUUGAAGAGUUGAGCAUGUAUUUGCUCAUAUGUUUGUAAAAUAGAUGAUGAUGGCAUCAUAUUGAUGUAAUAUUUAUAUUUUAUUGGAUAUACUUAAAAGGGUAAUGUUAGUAUUUAUAAUAUUCUGGAAAUUUCUUUCUGUGCAGCUAUUUAAACUGUGGUGAAGAAGGCAUUUUAUAUGUCAACCUAGAAAUUUACAAAGGGGCACGUUUUUCCAAACUCAGUGGAUAUUGAAAAUAAAAAGAGAACAUUGCAAUGGACCAAGAUAGGAUACUUUCCAACCCCUCAGGGCCUCUACUUGGCCGACGCAGCUAGAAGACUAAGGUCAGGGGCAUUCUGGAUGCAGCCCACAAAGCUAGCUCUCUGUGGCACUGAGCAAGAUCAUCUCAGCCUCUCCUGAACUGUGACCAACUGGCUUACUCAAGGGACUGGAUCUGCUGUCCCGACAUGAUGGCAAGCUGCAGCACAUCAUGCAGAUUAAAGUUCAGCCUGCCUCAGACUCAGGAUAAAAACACAUUUGGGACAGUCUCGCUCAGCCUCAUUGCAGAGACAAGAAAUGUAUGAAAAGAAAGUACAGAGAAAAAAAAAGAAUGGAAUACACAUGAAUGCCGAACCACAUUGGAUAUGUAGCUGUUCAUGAAGAUAUUCCAGGGAAGGCCUAUCUAGUAGAGCCUCAAAUCUAUUUGAAUACAAAUGGCACUCAUUAAGGACAUCUGUCUUCUGUAAUGUCUACACAAAGUCUUACCGGGGUCUUCUUGGCUCUUAUUGACGGCUGAUGAAGGAGGGGUUUAUAAAGAAAACAAGCCAAAACCUGAAUAACUUGCUACUGAGAGCAGCACACAUAUUUUCCCAAAGUGCAAAGUUGAGAAGAAGUACAAAGCUUUGUUAAUAUUCUGAACAGUACUGCUUAGUAUGAUCUAAUUGAUGGAUUUUCCAUGGACUCCCUAGAGACUGAAAAAGGUUUGACUGUCAGGAAACUUUUCUUGUGUUUAUUCUUCAAUUUUCCUUUUCCUACUUUCCAAUCAUCAUUCCCUAUUAACAUCCCUUGAUGGGUCACCUUAAGUGAUUAUUCUUUUUAAUGGCAUUUAUAACGUUUAAUAUUUCCCUGUUAAUUUCUAUUCCGACAAAGUACAUAUUUUUUUAAUCUUCACUCAUAACAUUAAUAAAUUUUUCCAACAUUUUAAAGCUCAGUUAACAUUUCCUUAUAUAUGCCUCUGUCUUUAAAAUAUGAGAUCUGAAUGUACUGGUAUCACUAGAAUUAUCUACAGAGUUCUAAUGUGAUGGAAAUUGUGCUACAAAAAUUUGUUCUUACAUAAUUUGCUUCAACGGAAUUCCUCCUGAACUAAAUACUUAGUCUUUACAUUCUUUAAAAUAACUAAAAUUUCCCAGAGGAAAGUCUGAAUUGUUCAUUUAACCUUGUGUGAUGUGUGCUGUGUGUAGCUGAAACAGCAAAGUGGACACACCUGCACCCUUAACAUUUUUGACUUUUUUUUUUUUUUUUUUAAAGAAUCAAGUUUCGUUUUUGUCACCCAAGCUGGAGUGCAGUGGUACAAUCUCCGGUCACUGCAACCUCCGCCUCCCGGGUUCAAGCGACUCUCCUGCCUCAGCCUCCCAAGUGGCUGGGAUUACAUGUGUGCACCACAAAGCCUGGGUAUUUUUUUUUUUUCAUUUUUAGUAGAGACGUGGUUUCACUAUGUUGGGCAGGCUGGUCUUGAACUCCUGAACUCAGGUGAUCCUUCCCCGCUAGGCCUCCCAAAGUGCUGGAAUUUCAGGCCUGAGCCACAGCACCUGGCCAACUGUGACUCAUUUUUAAAGCGGUUUGGCAAUAAUGCUAUAUACGUAUAAUGGUUUUGAAUAAAAUAUACAACUAUACAUGGCCUGUUAUCUUCUUAUUUUAGACAGAAUAAUCUUAGUCUUGUACUUUCAUGUAUUAGGCUGAUAGCCAUGAGAUUUGGGGAGGAAAAAAAUAGGAUAAAAUAGGACUCACUCAUUUCAAGAAAUAGAGUUAGUUUUCUAUGCAAGCAUUUUCUCCCCUUCUCCUUAGCCCACCAAAGUGGUAAAUGAGACUUCCAGCCAUGAGGCUGUUUGCACCUCUGUCUGGGAGGAGACUUCUGGAGCUUUGGUUGCUGCUAAUGACUUGGAGGGGCUUUGAAGGCCCCCUUGAAGAUGUCACGCAUGACCUCUGGACCCUUGGUAUCUUUCAAGAAUCCUUAUGAGAUACUAACUCAUUUCGUUUAUAAUAGGUGAAAACAGAUCAUGUAUUUUUAAACCAGAUAAUGCCUAAGUUAUAUUACUCUAGAAUUCAUAGAAAAAAUAAAAUAGCCGAGAUCUUUAAAAAGACUGUAAUGUGGUAUUAGUGGACUGUCUUUUUUUUUGUUUAUGGAGAGAAAAAAAUUAUUUGUAAGUUUUUUUUU
rnacentral:lncRNA from 1 species